UCCCACAAGAUGAGACGGUGAGAUGCAGUCCGCUGUUUGGGGCCAUCGCCGUUGCUAGCGGCAAGUAGGGGUCCGUCGCGGAUAGCACAGCCCGCGUCCGGCAUGUCCAAGCCCCAGCCUAAGCUAUGGCAGCUGCUCCCAUGCCUAUUCUCCCCUCAAUUCGAGCUCGGAAACGACUCACACAAGAUGAGAUUGCGGUGUGCCGUUCGGGGCUGUCACCGUCGCCGGAGGCAAGGCGAGAGCUAUUGCGGGUAGCACCGCUUGCGUCCGGCACACUUGUACCUGAGCCUAAGCUGUGGCAGCUGCUCCAUGCCGCAGUGCCCCGCUAAACAACAUCGUGUGCGGGGGCGGUCAGCUGGUACCUCGAAAUACAGGGGGAGCUCAUGCAGACUCACUUGAAGUUUGGAGCUCGAUGCAAGCUCACAGCCUGAGAUUCAAGGCGCAACAACGUAGCUAUGGAUGAUGAAGUGCCAGGAGCUGCUUCAAUGCUCAAGAACACAGUGGAUGCAUGCUGAUCCACGGAGAGAGCAAUUUUCUAGCAAUCCUAAUCUAUUCUCAUGUGAUCUAGGGGGCAACAUUGACAAUGUAGUAGAUGGACAGGAGAAAGGAUGUAGCCCGGAAGAUAUUUUGGCAGUAAUCUGUUGUUACACAGGAGAAAAAAAAGUGUUUUGCUGAUUAUCUGGAAUAAAUUAGAGAGGUACGCUGAUUAUGCAUGCUCAA